AUAUAUAUAUAUAUAUAUAUAUAUCUACGUAUACGUACCGUACAUACAUGUAUAUAAUUAAUAACUUCAUACAAAAUAAAAAAUAAUAUAAUUGUGUCUAAAUAUAUUAUCAUUAAAUAAUUUUAAAUUGCACAAUUUUUAGAUAGUAAACACAACUUCAAUGAAAAUAUAGAUAUAUAUAUGUAUAAAUAGGUAUAAAAAAAAAAAAAAAAAAAAUGUAUAUAUAUAUGUAUAUAAAAUGUUGAAUUAUUAUUAAAGUAGUGACAGGUGUUUUUAUUCGCAUUAAUUUUAUUUUACUCGGAUUUAGGUACAUUAUUUUAUUUUUUCUUAAAUGUUCAUAAAAAAAAUAGCAUGUUUUAUUUUUAUUGAUAGUUUAUAUGUAAAAGUAUCUUUAAAUUAAAUUUAAAAAAAAAAAAAAAAAUUAUAUAUAUAUAUACAAAACAAAUAAAAAAAUAAGAGCAAAAUAAACGGAUAAAUAAAUAAGCAAAUGUACAUGUAACGGAAAAAAAUAAGCACAAAGUAAAAUAAAUAAAUAAAUAAUUAAACAAUAAAGCAAUAAAACAGUUGACCAAUAAAACAAUUAACCAAUAAAACAGUUGACCAAUAAAACAAUUAACCAAUUAACCAAUUAACCAAUAAAACAAUUAACCAAUUAAACAAUUAAAUAAAUAAACAAUUAAAUAAAUAAGUAAAUAAACAAAGAAACGUAAGAACGAAUAAAAUAACCGCCAAAAUAUUGCCAUUUUUUCUUUUCAAAAGAUGUGAAUUACUUACUAAUUUAAUGAACUUAUAUAGGUAUAUAUUUUCAGCUAAGAAUUAUAUUUUACAAAAAUUACAAAAGGAUAUAUUAGAACUUUACUUAUUUAAAAAAUGAAUUAUUAUAAAAUUUUAGGCGUAUCAAAGAAUGCUUGUAAAAAAACUAUACGUGAAGCAUAUUUAAAAAAAGUAAAAAUAUAUCACCCAGAUUUAAAUAAAAGUCCAGAAGCUACAUCAAAAUUUAAACAACUUCAAGAAGCUUAUCAAGCUUUGUAUAAUAAUGAUUGUUCACAAAAAACAUACCAAAGUGAAAAUACAUCUAGUAGAAGUUACUAUUCGAAAAAUACACAGAACAAUCAGACUUAUGACCAGUCUGAUGAUUUUAACGAUUUUCAUCGAGCUUUUUAUGAAGAAGUUCGUAGAAUGAGAGAAAAUGAAAAGAAAGAACAAUAUAGAAGAUACGCAAAUAAUACGAACAGCUACACAUUCAAUGAUUUUGUCCAUAAAUAUGCUAGGGAAUACUUUUAUAUAAAUUUAAUUUUUAAAUUAUUUCCCCUGUUUGUAGUUCCUUUUUUAUUUUUUUUUGUUGUAUAUAAGCAUUACAUUUUGAAAGCACACUUGAGAGAAAAACCUGUACUCCUGUAUGAUUCUUAUGGGAGAGCUUAUUUAGUAGAUAUGCAGGGGAGGAAAUUUAGAGCUGCUGAAUUCGAUAAAUAUUAACAAAUAAAAAAUGAGAACUUUCAAAUAUAUAUAUAUAU
rnacentral:lncRNA from 1 species